rnacentral:rRNA from 1 species
GACGAACGCUGGCGGCGUGCCUAAUACAUGCAAGUAGAACGCUGAAGGAGGAACUUGCUUCUCUGGAUGAGUUGCGAACGGGUGAGUAACGCGUAGGUAACCUGCCUGGUAGCGGGGGAUAACUAUUGGAAACGAUAGCUAAUACCGCAUAAGAGUAGAUGUUGCAUGACAUUUGCUUAAAAGGUGCAAUUGCAUCACUACCAGAUGGACCUGCGUUGUAUUAGCUAGUUGGUGGGGUAACGGCUCACCAAGGCGACGAUACAUAGCCGACCUGAGAGGGUGAUCGGCCACACUGGGACUGGGACACGGCCCAGACUCCUACGGGAGGCAGCAGUAGGGAAUCUUCGGCAAUGGACGGAAGUCUGACCGAGCAACGCCGCGUGAGUGAAGAAGGUUUUCGGAUCGUAAAGCUCUGUUGUAAGAGGAGAACGAGUGUGAGAGUGGAGAGUUCACACUGUGACGGUAUCUUACCAGAAAGGGACGGCUAACUACGUG